AGGGUUCGAUUCUGGCUCAGGAUGAACGCUGGCGGCGUGCUUAACACAUGCAAGUCGAACGGGAUCCCAGGAGCUUGCUCCUGGGUGAGAGUGGCGAACGGGUGAGUAAUGCGUGACCGACCUGCCCCAUACACCGGAAUAGCUCCUGGAAACGGGUGGUAAUGCCGGAUGCUCCAGUUGACCGCAUGGUCCUCUGGGAAAGCUUUUGCGGUAUGGGAUGGGGUCGCGUCCUAUCAGCUUGAUGGCGGGGUAACGGCCCACCAUGGCUUCGACGGGUAGCCGGCCUGAGAGGGCGACCGGCCACAUUGGGACUGAGAUACGGCCCAGACUCCUACGGGAGGCAGCAGUGGGGAAUAUUGCACAAUGGGCGCAAGCCUGAUGCAGCGACGCCGCGUGCGGGAUGACGGCCUUCGGGUUGUAAACCGCUUUUGACUGGGAGCAAGCCCUUCGGGGUGAGUGUACCUUUCGAAUAAGCACCGGCUAACUACGUGCCAGCAGCCGCGGUAAUACGUAGGGUGCAAGCGUUAAUCGGAAUUACUGGGCGUAAAGCGUGCGCAGGCGGUUGGGUAAGACAGAUGUGAAAUCCCCGGGCUUAACCUGGGAACUGCAUUUGUGACUGUCCGACUGGAGUACGUCAGAGGGGGGUGGAAUUCCACGUGUAGCAGUGAAAUGCGUAGAUAUGUGGAAGAACACCGAUGGCGAAGGCAGCCCCCUGGGACGCAACUGACGCUCAUGCACGAAAGCGUGGGGAGCAAACAGGAUUAGAUACCCUGGUAGUCCACGCCCUAAACGAUGUCUGCUGGUUGUUGGGAAUUUAAUUCUCAGUAACGAAGCCAACGCGUGAAGCAGACCGCCUGGGGAGUACGGUCGCAAGAUUAAAACUCAAAGGAAUUGACGGGGACCCG
rnacentral:rRNA from 1 species